rnacentral:lncRNA from 1 species
UCCAUUAAAACAAUCUGCUGUAAACUCAACAGCUGCAAACAUUUAGCAUGUCGAGCAAGCGGGACGUGAAACUGCAAGGCUAUCUAUCUGAUAAGAGGAGACCUAAUCUAUCAAGGUGUUGCAAUAACUAUAGGACACUCUACACCAGCUGACAACUAUUUUGACUUGUUCCCUUGUCAAAAUUGUAACUUUCGGCAUAAGUGGCUUCCGCUAAAACCUAAAACGUCACACACAUCUUCUGUGCUAGAAGAUGCUUUAGGCACUCCCCAACCAAGCAUGCAAAGCAUCGGCGCCAACCAAGGGAAUCCGAUUAAAAUUUCAAACAUUCCACCUAACUAGAGUAGAACUUCUCCUCCUUGUAAUCAAUUAAUUCAGUAAUAUUAGUUCAAAGAUGGGUUACUGAAAAAUAGGCUCUAAACCUAUAUUAUCUCAAGUUGUAUCAUGAGUUUUGCUGAUGUGAUUA